GUGUAAAUAAAGAUGACUAAGAUUAAGCAUUGUCCAUAUAUAAAAAUAUGUGAUAAGGCAAGAAACACAAUAUAUAUUAAAACAGUGAAGUACAUAGAGAAAGAAAUGGUAUGUGUCUGUGACCUCUUUGGCUCAUGAUAAGUAUAGAUAGUAUAAAUCAUAAAAAAUGUUUACGUUCUAUAUCAGCAACUACUUCAAAAUUGUUCAUUUUCUUUAAAAAAUGAAAAAAUAAACCUCAAAGAAUGAUUAGAUAAAUCACUCAUUUACUGAAAGUGAAAAGCAAGGAUCAUUAGGAAAAUAUCUCAUUUUGUUAUCAUCUUCUCUGCCCUGUCUGUACUCCUGAGAAUGGACGAAUAUCCUGGUUUAAAGAUUCUCCCAUGGUCAUGUGCAGCGUUUGCAUCAUGGUUAGGAGCAUGUGGAUGAACAAUGGAUGAUGUGUUCUGAUUUGAGGAUUCCUCCAUGGUUAUGUGCUCUGCUGGGACCAUGUCCAGGAACAAGCAUAUAGACCAAUUCAGAAGAUCUGUGGCUGCAUCAGCGUGUUAUAUGGUUUAUGGAGACCUU